AUCAACGCUGGCGGCGUGCCUCAGACAUGCAAGUCGAACGAUUAAAGCUCUCUUCGGAGAGUGCAUAAAGUGGCGCACGGGUGAGUAACACGUAAGUAAUCUACCCUCGAGUGGGGAAUAACGUCCGGAAAACGGACGCUAAUACCGCAUAAUGCAGCGGCACCGCAAGGUGACAGUUGUUAAAGAUUUAUCGCUUGAGGAGGAGCUUGCGGCAGAUUAGCUAGUUGGUAAGGUAAUGGCCUACCAAGUCGACGAUCGUUAGCUGGUCUGAGAGGAUGACCAGCCAGACUGGAACUGAGACACGGUCCAGACUCCUACGGGAGGCAGCAGUAAGGAAUCUUCCACAAUGGGGGCAACCCUGAUGGAGCAACGCCGCGUGCAGGAUGAAGGCCCUCGGGUCGUAAACUGCUUUUAUGAGUGAAGAAUAUGACGGUAACUCAUGAAUAUGCACCGGCUAACUACGUGCCAGCAGCCGCGGUCAUACGUAGGGUGCAAGCAUUAUCCGGAGUGACUGGGCGUAAAGAGUUGCGUAGGCGGUCCGUAAAGCGAAUAGUGAAACCUGGUGGCUCAACCAUCAGACUAUUAUUCGAACUCACGGACUCGAGAGUGGUAGAGGUAACUGGAAUUUCUAGUGUAGGAGUGAAAUCCGUAGAUAUUAGAAGGAACACCAAUGGCGUAGGCAGGUUUACUGGACCAUUUCUGACGCUAAGGCACGAAAGCGUGGGGAGCGAACCGGAUUAGAUACCCGGGUAGUCCACGCCGUAAACGAUGGAUACUAGCUGUCGGGGGUAUCGACCCCUUCGGUAGCGAAGCUAACGCGUUAAGUAUCCCGCCUGUGGAGUACGGCCGCAAGGCUAAAACAUAAAGGAAUUGACGGGGAUCAGCACAAGCGGUGGAUCGUGUUCUUUAAUUCGAUGCUAAACGAAGAACCUUACCAGGGUUUGACAUCCUUGGAAUUACUACGAAAGUAGUGAGUGCUUUAUUGAACCAAGUGACAGGUGUUGCAUGGCCGUCGUCAGCUCGUGUCGUGAGAUGUUUGGUUAAGUCCAUCAACGAGCGCAACCCUUGUGAAUAGUUGUAUUUUUCUAUUCAGACUGCUCUAGUAAUAGGGAGGAGGGGAUGAUGUCAGGUCAGUAUUACCCUUACAUCCUGGGCUAGAAACACGAUACAAUGGCCGGUACAAUGCGCAGCGAAGCAGCAAUGUGGAGCAAAUCGCAUCAAAGCCGGUCCCAGUUCGGAUAAGAGGCUGAAACUCGCCUCUUUGAAGCCGGAAUCGCUAGUAAUCGCAAGUCAGCAAAUUGCGGUGAAUACGUCACUGAUCUUGUACACACCGCCCGUCAAGCCAUGAAAGUGACCAACACCCGAAGUCCGCUUAUGCGGCCUAAGGUGGGGGGCAUGAUUGGGGUU
rnacentral:rRNA from 1 species